rnacentral:tRNA from 1 species
CGGGGCGUAGCGCAGCCUGGCUUAGCGCGUCCGUCUGGGGGACGGGAGGUCGCUGGUUCAAAUCCAGUCGCCCCGACCA